rnacentral:rRNA from 1 species
UACGAAGGGUGCAAGCGUUACUCGGAAUUACUGGGCGUAAAGCGUGCGUAGGUGGUUUGUUAAGUCUGUUGUGAAAGCCCCGGGCUCAACCUGGGAAUGGCAAUGGAUACUGGCAAGCUAGAGUGCGGUAGAGGGUAGUGGAAUUCCCGGUGUAGCGGUGAAAUGCGUAGAUAUCAGGAGGAACACCGGCGGCGAAGGCGGCCCUCUGGAUCGUUGCUGACGCUGAGACGCGAAAGCGUGGGGAGCAAACAGG